AGUGAACGCUGGCGGUAGGCCUAACACAUGCAAGUCGAACGGCAGCACAGUAAGAGCUUGCUCUUACGGGUGGCGAGUGGCGGACGGGUGAGGAAUACAUCGGAAUCUACUUUUUCGUGGGGGAUAACGUAGGGAAACUUACGCUAAUACCGCAUACGACCUACGGGUGAAAGCAGGGGAUCUUCGGACCUUGCGCGACUGAAUGAGCCGAUGUCGGAUUAGCUAGUUGGCGGGGUAAAGGCCCACCAAGGCGACGAUCCGUAGCUGGUCUGAGAGGAUGAUCAGCCACACUGGAACUGAGACACGGUCCAGACUCCUACGGGAGGCAGCAGUAGGGAAUAUUGGACAAUGGGCGCAAGCCUGAUCCAGCCAUGCCGCGUGGGUGAAGAAGGCCUUCGGGUUGUAAAGCCCUUUUGUUGGGAAAGAAAAGCAGCAGGUUAAUACCCCGCUGUUCUGACGGUACCCAAUGAAUAAGCACCGGCUAACUUCGUG
rnacentral:rRNA from 1 species